AGCCCUCCCGAGGAGGGGUGGGCUCAGCCCAGGACGCGCGCCACCGCGCGCGCCGGGGUCAAGUUCCCUGACUCCCACCCUAACCCGUGAUCCGGGUUCUUCCACCUCGGAGCGCGCCCCUCUCCCUGAGCUCCACUCUGCCGGCGGCGGCCUCCCCAGUACAGGCCUCCCCUCCCGCUGGCACUGAGAGGGUGCAGCUCUUUCAGAGGUGGGGGCUUGUGUCCCAUGCAGGGCUGCGGUUGGAAUUCGGGGGCUGUAUGCGGCAAGGUGUGCUGGGGACAGUUGCGGUGGCUGAAGCCAGCUGCCCUCUCCUGGCGCUAGAGCAGCAGUUGUGGCCACGCAGGACUGGCCUGGGGCCUGGCCCUGGUUUCCCAGGUGCGGCACCUCAGCUGCUUAGGAGACAGGGCUGGGGUGAAGUGCCCUACCCUUCUGGCUCCCUGGUGCUUCCAGGGUUGGCGCUUUUCUUUUCUUUUCUUUUUUUUUUUUUGACAGAGUCUCACUUUGUCACCCUUGGUAGAGUGCUGUUGAGUCAUAGCUCAACAGCAACCUCAAACUCUUGGGCUAAAGCAGUUGUCUUGCCUCAGCCUCCCUAGUAGCUGGGACUACAGGCACCUGCCACAACGACUGGCUGGUUUGUUUGUUUGUUUUUGUUUUUAGCAGGCCUGGGCCAGGUUUGAACCCACCAGCCCUGGAGCCUGUGGCCAGCGCCCUAACUGAGCUACAGAUGCCUCCUGGGGCUGGCUCUUUUCUGGUCCUCCGUCCUGUAAGCAGGCGGGCCCUGGAGACCACAGAACAGCUUCUGUGGAGGGAGGCUGGGACAGGGUCAGGUGUUUGUGUAGAUCGUAAGGAUGCUGGACACCAACUGUCCUGGCCUGUGGUAGGAAGUAGGGGAGUGCUAAGGAGGCAGGCCUUUGCUCUGGGGACAGCCAGGGCCUGCAGAGGAGGCUGGGCCUCUCACACAAAAGGAAUGUUUCUGCCGUGGACAUGACACAGUCCCUCUGACACCCAGGGCUGCACGAGGUGGCCUGCCCCACUGGCAUGAUGUGAUCAGGUUUCUCGGUGGGAUCAUAGACCUUGCAUUGCCUUGCAUGCCCCCCAGGAGUGCCAGGGGGUCCCCUGAGGCAGAAGAUGUGCAGGUGAAGCCUGAAUCAGCUUCAGCUCUGAGGCUACACCAGUAUUUAUCAACCUUUUUUUUAAUCUCACAGCACGCUUAAACCUAUAGUUAAACUUCCAUGGCAUACUUAAAUUAUGUUGAUCAAUAAGGGCGUUAAAAAAAAAAGAAUAUCCUCACUAUCCUUUGAACUUCUUUCAAAAAAAAAUUAAUGAUCUUUAAAAUUUUUUAUGCACACCAGUUGAAAAUCACUGGGAUAAACCAUUGGAUUUCACACACAGGGUGAAAGGUAUAGAAGAUAGUCUGAGGCUAGGCUCCAGGUCCCCUUCAUAGGUGUGACCUGCAGGUGGGGCUCUGGAGCCCUGAGCAUCCUCCUGGGACAAAGCAGCUCACUGAAUGAGGCUGGCAGGAUGCCUGGGAAGGCCCUGGCAGGGCUGUGGGCUGAGGGGGAGGCUGGGCAGUGUCCCCUGCAGUUGCUAUCCCUGCAGCUCUCGUCUUGUCUCCCUAUUUCUCCUUGAACCAGCCUUCUGAAAAUUGUCUCUAGAGCAGCCCAUGAAGAACUUCUGUGUGCCCUCUUCUAGGGACUGGGGUGUUUGGGGCCACGGCAGGGAGGGGUGUGCACUGAGACUGAGGGCCUUCUGGAAGAGCUGCCUGUCCCCAGACCAGACUGCCUCGAGGCUCCGUGUCUGCAACUUCAUGUCCCAUGAGAAGUGUCUGAAGCAUGUGAAGACCCCAUGUACCAGUGUUGCACCCAGCCUGGUCUGGGUGAAGUGAGCUUACAUGGAUCUCAGAACCCCAGAACCUCAAGCAGCUAAGGCACCAGCCACAUACACCUAAGCUGCUGAGUUUGAAUCUAGCCUGGGCCCGCCAAACAACAAUGACGGCUGCAACCAAAAAAUAGCUGGGUGUUGUGGCAGGCACCUAUAGACCCAGCUACUUGGGAGGCAGAGGCACUGCGAGAGUCGCUUGAGCCCAGGAGUUGGAGGUUGCUGUGAGCUGUGAUUCCACAGCACUCUACCCAGGGCGACAGCUUGAGGCUCUGCCAAAAAAAAAAAAAAAACAGAACCCACACCUGACUGUUUCUGCCAGAACUUUACUAUGCUUUCUGACCUAGCAAGUGAACAAUACUUCCAUCAAACCCUCCCACAAACUUUCAAUACUAUUAGCAGCUUCUCCCUUGAAGGCCUGGCUGGAUUUUGGCUCCUGGGUCAGUCCCACACUGUCUUGGCCAGCUCAGGUUGAGUGGCUGGAACAAGAUGAAUGUAUCUGGAGGAUGGGAAGGCAGAGACCAGGUGCAGGCAUGGUCAGGUUCUGGGGAGUGCUCUCUUCCCUCUCUGCUACCCUAAGAAGAUGCUAGCCACCAUGCUGAGGUCAAACCACUCUGGUAAA